CAUCUUUUUACAGCUGGAGGUUGUCCAGGUUCUUGGCUUGUGGAACAAAUAAUUGAACAACAUGAACAAAUAAAGCAACAAAAGAAUGAAGCAAAGAAAGCACAGAUUUAUUUA